GCAAACUAGGGGAGAGAAUGGCAAAGAGGAAACCAAUUAAAAAGGUGUUUCUGAAGGCCAGAGGAGAGAUGGUGAGAAUCUCUGCAUUCAAGACACAUGAAGAAAGGAGAACGUGGUGCCGGGCAGGAUGUGCACGCACAGAGGGCGCCUACUUUGUCUCCGUGGUUCCCAGCUGGAGCCAAGAGCGCACCAGUUCCUCCAGCUGGACUGCAGAAAGCAGGAGGCCUAAGGUUGUGUGGCAGGUGAAGACUUGCACAGAAAGUAAAGGAAGCCAAAGUCAGGAUCCUGGAAAUGACCAACACUGAAGCGCUCAAGAAGCAUACAAGUCCAAAGUGUGACGCACCAGAAAGCUGAAAGUUCCUAUCCACAAUUGUCUAGAAGAGAAUUCUACUACCAAACUCGGCAUGUCCGAAACUGGAUAUACAUCUACCAUCCCAGAAGAGCAACUCCUCACAGAGGAGCAA